UGUUUGUGGGUGUGAGAAUAAAUAUCCAUGUAUAUAGAUGUGUGUACACACACACACACACACACACACACAAUGUUACA
rnacentral:miRNA from 14 species